UUUAACGGCCGCGGUAUUUUGACCGUGCGAAGGUAGCGUAAUCACUUGUCUUUUAAAUGAAGACCAGUAUGAAUGGCAUAACGAGGGCUAAGCUGUCUCCUUUUUCCAGUCAAUGAAAUUGAUCUGCCCGUGCAGAAGCGGGCAUACAAACACAAGACGAGAAGACCCUAUGGAGCUUUAGACACAAGACAGCCCACACAACAUCCUAUUACCCCAAUAAAGGAAACCAAUUGGCCCUGUCUAUUGUCUUUGGUUGGGGCGACCGCGGAGAAACAAAAAACCCCCGCGUGGAAUGGGACCAAACCCUUAAAGCCAGAGCCACAGCUCUAAUCAGCAGAACUUCUGACCAAUAAGAUCCGGCAAGCCGAUCGACGGACCGAGUUACCCUAGGGAUAACAGCGCAAUCCUCUUCUAGAGCCCCUAUCGACAAGAGGGUUUACGACCUCGAUGUUGGAUCAGGACAUCCUAAUGGUGCAGCCGCUAUUAAGGGUUCGUUUGUUCAACGAUUAAAGUCCU
rnacentral:rRNA from 1 species